rnacentral:lncRNA from 1 species
AGAAUGCAAGUGUUGACUCUUCAGCCCUCCACAGUGUUUGACCCAACACUGACUGCUGGAUUCCUCUCCUGUGCUAUAUGCUGGGCUACUUCUGGUCUGACUUCACUCUCUUGGUUGGAACAAAUUGUCUUCAUUACUCUGAAUGAGUAUCAAUUUCCCACAGCGGAGUUUGCCAACAAAGAAGCAGUAUGCAGCACAGCUCCCUGGUACCUGGGAAGUAGAAAAGGAUGAAGAAUAAGCUACGUACUGUCGCAUGGACUUCAGUUUAAUGUCUGUUCCCUAACUUCUGCUACAUGGAGUCAGAUCUCUUUUAUACUGGUGUCUCUGUAUGUUUAACACAGUUGUGUCUCUGUUUUAAUUAUUUCGUGUAUUUCUUUUUCCUCAUGCAUUUCUCACGUUCAUUUCAUCCUAACCUCAAAAAAUGUAAGAUCCAUUCAUUUCACAUUUUGAGCAGGUAUAACUCAGUAGAUACUACAGUGUACGUAAUGAAUUAAGAAAUUAUCCUAUUACUACUACAGCUACUACUGCUAGUGUUGCUGCUGCUAAUAAUAAUAAUAAUAAUAAUGAUAAUAAUAAUAUGCUAGUAAUAAUAAUAAAAUAAUUGUUAUCAUUG